GCCAGCAUAGCUCAGUGGUAGAGCAGCUCAUUCGUAAUGAGCAGGUCCUCGGUUCGAAUCCGAGUGCUGGCUCCA
rnacentral:tRNA from 1 species